rnacentral:rRNA from 1 species
UACGUAGGGUGCGAGCGUUGUCCGGAAUUAUUGGGCGUAAAGAGCUUGUAGGCGGUUUGUCGCGUCUGCCGUGAAAAUUCGAGGCUCAACCGUCGAACUUGCGGUGGGUACGGGCAGACUAGAGUGUGGUAGGGGAGACUGGAAUUCCUGGUGUAGCGGUGAAAUGCGCAGAUAUCAGGAGGAACACCGAUGGCGAAGGCAGGUCUCUGGGCCACUACUGACGCUGAGAAGCGAAAGCGUGGGGAGCGAACAGG